UUUCCCAUCCAGGACACAAAACACUGGAACUGAAAUACAGUGCCCAACUCAAGGAGCUAUUAUUCUUUUGUCUAGUGAUUGUUUGCAAAGAAGAAUUAGCCUAACAAUGAUGGUAAACACGGAGAAGACUACCUGGGUGAACUAACAACAGAGGACAGCAAAGCGACCAUGGACCUGGGGCCAGGAGGUUUGAAUUAUUCAAAUGAGACUCAGUCUAGCGGUUACCUUAGGGAAACUGUUUUGCUGAGCCCAUGCCAGGUGCUGUCCAAGAUAAAAGAUACAACCUAGGGAGAGAACACUGCCAUUCUGCUUAAGGAUUAACAGGAAAAUUAAGUCCUUUACGGAGAAGACAAGAUGCUCUACAUGCCAUUGAUUGAGAACUUUUUUAAGGGCUGUUGCCACAAAAUCUCACCUGAUAUGACAACCUUGUGAGUUGAGGGAUUGUCUAGGAAAGUCCAUGUGAAAUCAGAAAUAGAUUUCUACUGGCAAAGUAUUCGUGGUAGCAAUACAGUUCCCACAAAAUGCAAAAUGAGAGGACACUUGAACUAAGGGUAGAAAAGGAAGAAAGAAGAGAAAAGAACAGCAUGACCACCACACUUUACCAUAAAAGUUCUCCCUGAUGGAAAUAUUGUUUGUAAGUCACGUAAGUCACCCUAAAACCUAGAAUGCAGCCAAUAAUAAACCUCAAAUGUUCUUUUA